CCUACGGGUGACAGCAGUGGGGGAUAUUGCACAAUGGGGGGAACCCUGAUGCAGCGACGCCGCGUGGGUGAAGAAGCGCCUCGGCGCGUAAAGCCCUGUCAGCAGGGAAGAAAAUGACGGUACCUGAAGAAGAAGCCCCGGCUAACUACGUGCCAGCAGCCGCGGGAAUACGUAGGGGGCAGGGGUUAUCCGGAUUUACUGGGUGUAAAGGGGGCGCAGCCGGCGAUGCAAGCCAGGAGUGAAAGCCCGGGGCCCAACCCCGGGACUGCUCUUGGAACUGCGUGGCUGGAGUGCAGGAGGGGCAGGCGGAAUUCCUGGUGUAGCGGUGAAAUGCGUAGAUAUCAGGAGGAACACCGGUGGCGAAGGCGGCCUGCUGGACUGCAACUGACGUUGAGGCCCGAAAGCGUGGGGAGCAAACAGGAUUAGAUACCCCAGUAGUC
rnacentral:rRNA from 1 species